GGGCAGAUUUGCUCCAUAAGCAGGAGGUGACCAGGCUCAGAACUGCUGGGUAUGGACAGUCCCCUGCCUCUGUGGGGCCAGGGACGCCUCCUGCCUCACGAGCGGCUCAGCCACUGUGGCUCGCGUCAGACUCCCUGUGACGGGGACAGCUGGGAAACCUGAGCCCCUCAGGGGAGGGGGCCUCGAAGGCGGGAGGCGUUCAGCAACUCCCUCUCCCCUCCAAAUCAGGAGCUGACUCACCCCGGGGCUCGGGGCUUCCGUCCAGUGGUGAGGCCGCUGCAGCCCACAGUGCGGCCCCUGGGCUCGCCUCCCAGCCCUGCCCCUGCCCAAGGCUGGGCUCCUGUUCCGCGUCCAGCCGUCAGGCACCGAGUUCCCAGCUCCUGGCUUUGGCCCCAGCCCUGGGCCAUUGCAGGCGUUUGGGGAGGGAACCAGGGGAUGCGACAUCUCUCUCUGGCUGUCUCCCUCUAGUGCUCUGCCUCCCAGAUAAAUGGAAAAGUGGAAUUAAAAAAAAGGCCCAUGGCGGUGUGGAGACAACCCCUUCCUGUCGGGAUGUGUGUGCCAGAGCGGAGUCUCCUCUGGACAAAUGGGAGCCGUAUUUCUGCUUCUCACCACAACGGCGAAACACGCAAGGGCCACGGCCAAGUGCCCUCGGUUCCCGGGAAAACGGCCUAGGAGGGAGGUUGGAGCUCACGGGCAGCAGGGGGCGUCCAGAGGACAAGGGUGCAGCUGGGGCCUGUGGGUGGAGGGGCAGUGAGGACAUUGGGGGCGGGGCAUGCACAAGGGUGUCCAUGAUGCCAGGAAGCGCCCUGAGCUCAGGGGAGCGGUUUCUCAGUGUGGGACAGGGAGACACAGAUGUGGAAGGGAGACUGGGGCUGACUCUGGGUCGCUGGUGCAGUCACAGCCUCCACACAGACACUGGAUGCCAGGGACGCGGACAUGGGUGGAAGACAGGUGACAGGGAGGCGGCUGCAUAGGGAGUCCACUCACCUGUCUGUAUGAUACAUUCACGCAUCUGACCUCUGGCUCCUCACUGCAGGGGAGACCCCGUGCCCUGGAGCCCCACAUCCUGACAUUCUCCACUCGGGAGACUCCUGGC
rnacentral:lncRNA from 1 species